rnacentral:rRNA from 1 species
AACGAACGCUGGCGGCAGGCCUAACACAUGCAAGUCGAGCGGACCCUUCGGGGUUAGCGGCGGACGGGUGAGUAACGCGUGGGAAUAUGCCCUUCUCUACGGAAUAGUCCUGGGAAACUGGGGGUAAUACCGUAUACGCCCUUUGGGGGCAAGAUUGAUCGGGGAAGGAUUAGCCCGCGUUGGAUUAGGUAGUUGGUGGGGUAAUGGCCUACCAAGCCGACGAUACAUAGCUGGUUUGAGAGGAAGAGCAGCCACACUGGGACUGAGACACGGCCCGGACUCUUACGCGAGGGGGCAGAGGCUGAUCUUAGCCAAUCGCGUCAAUGCUGAUGUAGCCAUGCUUGGUGAGUGAUGAAGUCCGUAGGGUAGUACAGCUCUUUCAGCUGGGGAGAUAAUGACGGUACCAGAAGAAGAAGCCCCGGCUAACUCCGUG